GCUUACGGCCAUACCACCUUAGGCACGCCCGAUCUCGUCUGAUCUCGGAAGCUAAGCAGGGUCGGGCCUGGGUAGUACUUGGAUGGGUGACCGCCUGGGAAUACCAGGUGCUGUAAGCA
ensembl:rRNA 5S_rRNA 5S ribosomal RNA